UCUUAACUUUCUAAAGUUUCCGGUUGAUGACAGCCAGGUCUCGCGAGUAUCUGGCGGCUCAACAGUGAUCGCGCGCGAACAGUAACGUACAGCUAUACUGAGAUAAUCAGAAAACUGUUUUCGCGUCGGGUUGAUCUUCUUCGAGCUCGGUGUUUAAAACGAUGGACAUGUUGGACAUGUUAUUACAACAAACAGACUGUCGACAUUCCGAGAGAGAGUGAAUAUCUUGGUUCUAAGUGAGGUUACUACCAAAUCUGUCUCUAUGAAACUGCGGCGCAACACAGUCCUGAGAAGCCGAAGGCGUCAACAGCGAGAACAUGUGAAGGACCCUGAGAGCAUCUGUGUGGUGUUGAGUGACAAUGACUCUAGCCAGUCAGAGAGUGUGGAGGAAAUAAAAGACCAUGUGUCUGUUAUUCAUGAUAUGAAGCGGCCAGUAAGGAAGAGUAGAGCUGGUGCAUCAUGUCGAGCGAGAAAAGAAGACGAGAGACUUCUUUCUCUUGUGGAACCACAACAUGGAGUGGUUCAGAAGAUCUCCUUGGCUCCAGAUGCAAUGGCUGAGGACACUCUAGAGAAACUCAGGUUGAGGGCUAAUACUUCUGAGACUGAGGUUGAGUCUCGGGUAGAGCUUGAGUCUGUUUUGGAAGAAUCCAGUACCGAUCUCACAGUGGAAUCGGGUCCCAGCUCGCCCUCUUGUCCUGUUGAUACUGUAAGAUGCAGAGAAUGCCGGAGACUUUUCGCCAAGAUGAGAAAACAGCCGACCCCAAAACAGAAAAGCAGAGAUACAAGUAAACAUUUCAGAUGUGCAGUUUAUAGAAAUGAGACUCUUAAGAGAUUAAUAUGUAAUAUAAAGCACCUGUUAUCAUGUUACCAAAAAUGUUUUUUUUUCUUUGUAUAUUAGAUCCAGCAUCUUUAUCUUGUGAUGUGUGGGUUCUGCUUAAGAAGUGGCACCCUCAGAGACUCCGCCAUCGGGAGAAGGGAUUAUUGUGGACAAGCCUGAGUCGUAUCAGGAAGCUGUUAGCAGGAGGCUCUGAUUCUGCAGUCGUCAACAGAAUUCAAGCAAACUGCUCCAGACCUCAUGUGUUUCAGCAGAGGAAUUUGCGUCGCUGCAAGGAUCUGCUCUCCGUUCAGACCAACCUGUCCAUUACCAAAGCCAAACCACGGCAUCGUAAGAGGUCACGAUCUGUGGUCUGGCCGCCCGUUGCUGGCUGGCAAUUUUCUGUGAAAAGGAAGCCUUCCUUGAACAGCACAUUAUCUCAGCAGCUUUAUCCACUCGACCUUAGUGUCCGUGUGAAGCAGAAGGACAAACUUCUUGUAGAUGACAAGAUUUCAAGAUUAAAUGCAGAUUUGAAGCAGAACUCGAAUGUCUCUAGCAAACAGAGGACGACUAAUGUCCGGGGUAAAUCGAACAAGCAGGAAGUGUCUGAUGGCAUAGAUGGAACACGGCGGGUGCUGAAGUUUGAUGACACCCCUGAAACUGUUGCUGUGGAAACUACGGAACAGAGGAAAAGCCCUCGGCAGAAGCACAAGCGUGGAGAGAUUCGAGAAGCUCAGAAUGGUUUCCAGAAUGAGCAGCAGGAAGAGAUUUCUGAGGAUUCGGAUGGGUUCAGGACGCCCACAGAUCUGUUCAGCGUGAAGCCCGAGAUUAAACGAGGGAACCAGAAGAAAGUCUCUGCCUCUGGUAAACCUGCCGUACAGAAGCCCAACUUCAUGUCCAUGUUAGCCACACUGGUGAAGAAUCAGAACCAGAUUAUUAAGGAAUCCUGCAAAUGAGUCUUUAUUGAAGUUUUGUAAUUCUGGUAGUCGUUCAAGUUUUGCUAAUUCUGUUUAUUUCAGAGUUUAUCUCUGUUAAUUCUGAGAUCUCAUCUCUGACAAAAGUCUGCUGAUGUGUAUUUAUUGUUCAUAUGUUUGUGUUCUAACAUUAGUAUUUGCAUGAGUAAAUAAGUCUUGCAUUAAAUUAUCUGUUUGUGUAUGCUGUUAACUCCACAGUGGCUUGAACGGCAGUUACUGUAAUAACCACCGAGCGGAGCUGUUUCCAAACAAACUUGCAUAUCUUCACUCGCUAUAUUCAGUCUUUAGUUUCUUAAACCAUUUUUAAUUAUUACAAUAUAUGACUUUAAAAAAAAUAGGCUUUAUCACAUUAACUUAACAUGAUGUUUUGACAUCUAUGAGUCUGUACAUAAUCCAUGACUUCCUGUUUUUCAGUAGAUCAGGGACAUUUUUUUUUAUCACACACUAGAUUUAAAAAGUCAG
rnacentral:lncRNA from 1 species